AUGCAGAGGAAUUCAUUUCAACUUCAUCAUCAAACUCCCUCUGUGCUCAUGACAUUGUGUGUGCCAUUUCCCAGGUGUGUGGAGAACAUUGUUGCUCUUCUCCUCCAAGACUUGAAGAAGGAUUUGGAAGAAAGGGCUCCUUUUGUGUCAUCUGACUAUGAUUUAUACAGUGUCUCAGUUGAAGCCCAUCUUGUCUUGAGAACUUUGAAGUCAUUCAAGACUACCAUGGAACUGGAUGUUCAUGCUGGACAGAGACCCAGCACCAACCAGAUCACUGCACUGGGCAUAAGUGGCUAAAACUGUCUGCAUCCCUUCUGUGUGCCCCCCACACCUCUUCACCACGCAUUCACCCCCUUUCAGUGCCAUGAAUGCAGGGAGUGGUACCCUGCUCUCCCCAGGGCAAAGAUGCCAACAGGGUUAAUUUUUGGAGGUGACAAAAGGCCUGAAGCCAAAACCAUCAGUGAGCUGACUGCUUCCAAGGCAGCCAUGGCACCUUGUCAUCUGGACCCCUAUUAGCUGGGGGGCAGUGCAGGACCCUGAGAACCACAUUGAGCAGCAGAGCAAAAGCUGCUUAAGGCAUCCCUCCCUGCUCAUUGAGCAAAUUCUUGGCAGCUGCUAAGCAAAAACAGAAAGGUAUAAUGAUGCUAGAGGUGCCACAAGAUCUCUCCCCAUCUGCAUGUGGGAAUCUUGCCUUUAAAUCCAGCCUUGCACCAGUGAGCUCCCUGCCUGAUAUUGCUAGACACUGCUCCUUAAUGAGACUGACGAGUAUUUUAUGUGGUAAUCUGCUGGCUCUGGCAAUUGUACAGACAUCAAGACUACAAAAGAGUCACUUCAAUGAAAUGAGAUGCCAGUGAGAAAGCCACUCUGCCACAGGGAUGAAGACUUUGCAAAUAAACACUUCUGGGGAACUCUCUCUCCUUAAAUAACACACUUAUAGAGCACUCAGAUGUUGGUUUAGCACUUAAUGACUGUGGGAGAAAAUAAAACAUGAAGGGUUGCAUUUGGUUUGGUGCUUUUUUUCUCUUCUUGAUCUCAUAUAUUUAAUGUGUACAGACAAAGUAUAGGAAAUCCAUAUAUAUGUAUGUAUGUACAUGUGCCAAGAUAUUUAUUGGCCCAUGGGGGAUGGAGCUAGAGAGGUGACCCUGCCAAAAGUGUGUUCUGCAUCUCCAGGAGACACAGCAAGCAGCAAUAAGCCUGUCUUACCUACACUAUUUCAAAUGUGGUUCCUUAAUGGGGAGUAAAAAUCCCAAAUCUUUGUGAUGAGGUGCCAAAGGACCUAAGACGAGACUCCAACUACUCCAUCCUGAAGGACCCAUGAACAUUUCAGAGGCACUCAUCCCUGUCCUGGAAACCUCUCUGAGCAAGGA
rnacentral:lncRNA from 1 species